CCUACGGGUGGCUGCAGUAAGGAAUAUUGGUCAAUGGAGGAAACUCUGAACCAGCCAUCCCGCGUGAAGGAUGAAGGGGCUCUGCCUUGUAAACUUCUUUUGUCUGGGGCGAAAAAGCUCGAUUUAUCGAGAACUGACGGUACCAGAAGAAUAAGCACCGGCUAACUCCGUGCCAGCAGCCGCGAUAAUACGGAGGGUGCAGGCGUUAUCCGGAAUAACUGGGUUGUAGGCGUGCUAGGAAGUCUUAGUUGAAAGGCUGUGGCUUAACCAUGGAAUUGCCAUUGAUACUGCAGAGCUUGAGUGAGGUUGAGGUUGGCGGAAUGUGACAUGUAGCGGUGAAAUGCUUAGAUAUGUCAUGGAACACCGAUUGCGAAGGCAGCUGACUGGACCUAUAUUGACGCUGAGGCACGAAAGCGUGGGGAGCGAACAGGAUUAGAUACCCGGGUAGUC
rnacentral:rRNA from 1 species